rnacentral:lncRNA from 1 species
GUGCUUCCCACCAGCUGUUCAUCAAAAUCACUUAGGGGAGCUUUCAGAAAUACAGAUUGUAAGGCCUCACAGCAGAUCAUGCCUCUGCGUUCCAGCCUGGGCAACAGAGUGAGACCCUGUCAAAAAAUAUAUGUAUAUUUGUUUGAGUUCCUGCUUUUAAUUCUUUUUUAUUUAUUUUUAAAUUAUUUUUUUAAAAUAAUUUUUUUUUUAUUUUUAUGGGUACAUAGUAGAUGUAUCCUACUUUUAAUUCUUUUGGACAUAUCGUUUGAAGUAGAAUCGCACUUUUUGAAGUACCACCAUACUGUCUUCCACAGUGGCUAUACCAUUUCAUGUUCCCACCAACAAUGCACAAAGGUUCCAGUUUCUCUAUAUCCUGGACACUUAUUUCUGGUUUUUUGGUUGAUACUUAUCCUAAUGGAUAUGAAUUGGUAUCUCACUAUGGUUUCAAUUUACUUAAAAAAAAAAACCAUAUGAUUAUUUUGCCUUAUAAAUGGAUUUGUUCCUAAA